UAAGGAAUAUUGCUCAAUGGGAGAAAUCCUGAAGCAGCAACGCCGCGUGGAGGAUGAAGGGUCUAUGACUUGUAAACUCCUGUAAAGAAGGAAAAAAUUCCCAUUUGAUGGGAGAUGAUGGUACUUCUGGAGUAAGCCCCGGCUAACUACGUGCCAGCAGCCGCGGUAAUACGUAGGGGGCAAGCGUUGUCCGGAUUUACUGGGUGUAAAGGGUGCUCAGGCGGAUUUGUAAGUCAGAGGUGAAAUCUUACAGCUUAACUGUGAAACUGCCUUUGAUACUGCAAGCCUAGAGUAUGGAAGAGAGUGAUGGAAUAUCUGGUGUAGCAGUGAAAUGCGUAGAUAUCAGAUAGAACACCAAUGGCGAAGGCAGUCACUUGGUCCAUUACUGACGCUAAAGCACGAAAGUGUGGGUAGCAAACA
rnacentral:rRNA from 1 species